UGCCACAGCCACAUCACCCUGCAGCCCAAGAUCGGUUACUCACUGAAGCUAAGCAGGGCUGAGCCAGGUCAGUACCUGGAUGGGAGACCACUAGGGAACACUAGGUUGCUGUUGGAA
rnacentral:rRNA from 1 species